AUGAACGCUAGCUACAGGCUUAACACAUGCAAGUCGAGGGGCAGCAUGAACUUAGCUUGCUAAGUUUGAUGGCGACCGGCGCACGGGUGAGUAACACGUAUCCAACCUGCCGAUGACUCGGGGAUAGCCUUUCGAAAGAAAGAUUAAUACCCGAUGGCAUAGUUCUUCCGCAUGGUAGAACUAUUAAAGGAUUUCGGUCAUCGAUGGGGAUGCGUUCCAUUAGGUUGUUGGCGGGGUAACGGCCCACCAAGCCUUCGAUGGAUAGGGGUUCUGAGAGGAAGGUCCCCCACAUUGGAACUGAGACACGGUCCAAACUCCUACGGGAGGCAGCAGUGAGGAAUAUUGGUCAAUGGACGAGAGUCUGAACCAGCCAAGUAGCGUGAAGGAUGACUGCCCUAUGGGUUGUAAACUUCUUUUAUACGGGAAUAAAGUGAGGCACGUGUGCCUUUUUGUAUGUACCGUAUGAAUAAGGAUCGGCUAACUCCGUGCCAGCAGCCGCGGUAAUACGGAGGAUCCGAGCGUUAUCCGGAUUUAUUGGGUUUAAAGGGAGCGUAGGCGGACGCUUAAGUCAGUUGUGAAAGUUUGCGGCUCAACCGUAAAAUUGCAGUUGAUACUGGGUGUCUUGAGUACAGUAGAGGCAGGCGGAAUUCGUGGUGUAGCGGUGAAAUGCUUAGAUAUCACGAAGAACUCCGAUUGCGAAGGCAGCUUGCUGGACUGUAACUGACGCUGAUGCUCGAAAGUGUGGGUAUCAAACAGGAUUAGAUACCCUGGUAGUCCACACAGUAAACGAUGAAUACUCGCUGUUUGCGAUAUACAGUAAGCGGCCAAGCGAAAGCGUUAAGUAUUCCACCUGGGGAGUACGCCGGCAACGGUGAAACUCAAAGGAAUUGACGGGGGCCCGCACAAGCAGUGGAGUAUGUGGUUUAAUUCGACGCAACGCGAAGAACCUUACCAGGGCUUGACAUAUACAUGAAAGUCUAAGAGAUUAGACCCCUCUUCGGAGCGUGUAUACAGGUGGUGCAUGGUUGUCGUCAGCUCGUGCCGUGAGGUGUCGGCUUAAGUGCCAUAACGAGCGCAACCCUUAUCGAUAGUUACCAUCAGGUGAUGCUGGGGACUCUGUCGAGACUGCCGUCGUAAGAUGUGAGGAAGGUGGGGAUGACGUCAAAUCAGCACGGCCCUUACGUCCGGGGCUACACACGUGUUACAAUGGGGGGUACAGAAGGCAGCUACACGGCGACGUGAUGCUAAUCCCGAAAGCCUCUCUCAGUUCGGAUUGGAGUCUGCAACCCGACUCCAUGAAGCUGGAUUCGCUAGUAAUCGCGCAUCAGCCACGGCGCGGUGAAUACGUUCCCGGGCCUUGUACACACCGCCCGUCAAGCCAUGAAAGCCGGGGGUACCUGAAGUGCGUAACCGCAAGGAGCGCCCUAGGGUAAAACUGGUGAUUGGGGCU
rnacentral:rRNA from 1 species